CAUGCAAGUCGAACGGUAACAGGAAUUAGCUUGCUAAUUUGCUGACGAGUGGCGCACGGGUGCGUAACGCGUAUACAAUCUGCCUUUUACAGGGGGAUAGCCCAGAGAAAUUUGGAUUAAUACCCCAUAGUAUUAUUAAUUGGCAUCAAUAAAUAAUUAAAGCUUCGGCGGUAAAAGAUGAGUAUGCGUUCUAUUAGCUAGUAGGUAUGGUAACGGCAUACCUAGGCAACGAUAGAUAGGGGCCCUGAGAGGGGGAUCCCCCACGCUGGUACUGAGACACGGACCAGACUCCUACGGGAGGCAGCAGUGAGGAAUAUUGGACAAUGGGCGAGAGCCUGAUCCAGCCAUGCCGCGUGCAGGAUGACUGCCCUAUGGGUUGUAAACUGCUUUUAUACAGGAAGAAACUGCUCUACGUGUAGAGCCCUGACGGUACUGUAAGAAUAAGGAUCGGCUAACUCCGUGCCAGCAGCCGCGGUAAUACGGAGGAUCCAAGCGUUAUCCGGAAUCAUUGGGUUUAAAGGGUCCGUAGGUGGAUAAUUAAGUCAGAGGUGAAAUCCUGCAGCUCAACUGUAGAAUUGCCUUUGAUACUGGUUAUCUUGA
rnacentral:rRNA from 1 species